rnacentral:tRNA from 1 species
UGGGGAGUAGUGUAACGGUAGCACAAGAGCCUUUGGAGCUCUCCGUCCAGGUUCGAAUCCUGGCUCCCCAG